UACGUAGGGGGCAAGCGUUGUCCGGAUUUAUUGGGCGUAAAGAGCGUGUAGGCGGCCAGGUAGGUCGGUUGUGAAAACUGGAGGCUCAACCUUCAGACGUCGACCGAAACCAUCUGGCUAGAGUCCGGGAGAGGAGAGUGGAAUUCCUGGUGUAGCGGUGAGAUGCGCAGAUAUCAGGAAGAACACCCGUGGCGAAAGCGGCUCUCUAGAACGGUACUGACGCUGAGACGCGAAAGCGUGGGGAGCGAACAGG
rnacentral:rRNA from 1 species